AGCGAACGCUGGCGGCAGGCUUAACACAUGCAAGUCGAGCGGGCAUCCUUGUGGUGUCAGCGGCAGACGGGUGAGUAACGCGUGGGAACGUGCCCUUCGGUUCGGAAUAACUCCGGGAAACUUGAGCUAAUACCGGAUACGUGCGAGAGCAGAAAGGUUUAUCUGCCGAAGGAUCGGCCCGCGUCUGAUUAGCUAGUUGGUGAGGUUACGGCUCACCAAGGCGACGAUCAGUAGCUGGUCUGAGAGGAUGAUCAGCCACACUGGGACUGAGACACGGCCCAGACUCCUACGGGAAGCAGCAGUGGGGAAUAUUGGACAAUGGGGGCAACCCUGAUCCAGCCAUGCCGCGUGAGUGAUGACGGCCUUAGGGUUGUAAAGCUCUUUUCUCCGGGACGAUAAUGACGGUACCGGAGGAAUAAGCCCCGGCUAACUUCGUG
rnacentral:rRNA from 1 species